AAGCAUUUUAGGGUAAAAAAAGCUCUCCCACCCAGUCAGUGGGAACCGCAAGAGGUAGUUAGGAGGUUUAUUUUUUACACCACUAACAUCCACUAAGUGUCACAUUAGCUGUAGGUCAGUCUGUAUAUGGCCCAUCUUUAGCCUCCCCAAACAAAAAAGUCACCCUCCGACUAUGUAUGUAUGUAUGUAUGUAAUCUGUAUUUUCAAUAUAUACUCCAAUUUAUUUGACAGUGCUCUGGAAAAUGUUGGUGCUUUAUAAAUGUGUAAACCGGAGAAUUUUAUAGGACAUAUUAAGAGCUAAUUGCGUUAUCCCAAAUGCUGACUUGUCUGUUUUAUUCUCUUUUCUACACAGAUUGCUAUUGUGCCUUCUGGCGUUCAUUGGCUUGUGCUUCGGUGCGAUUUUCAGUGCGAAUUUUUUGGAUAUUGAGAUUUUUCUGGCAUCCCCCUAGUUUGAUAUAAUCUAUUCUUAUCUGAGCUAGUGGGUAUAGCCAGCUUUCAUAGAGGGAGACCCCUUGGGGUACCCCAGCCUUGUGCCAGCCCCUCUCAUUGAAGCCAGUAACAUCGUAGGCUUCAGGAUCUGAAGAUGGCGACUCGUCAGGACUUUUUAAGACAUAAUCUUGCAAAUCCAAUUGGUACAUUUAUUAUUUAAUCUGCCUUAAGUACCCUGGGGGGGGUGGUCGGUUUCUUAGGUCCAGUUUGUUAGAGCCCAACAGGUCUUUCUGCAUAUACAUAUAGGGGCAUAUUUAUGAUAUUGUGGCAGCCAAUAUCAUAUAUAUACCCAUUUGUCUCUCGUGUUUGCUUUAAGGUAGCGAGACCAUCAGGAGUAAGCGAGGGAUGCAGGUAAAAUGUCUGUUUUUUCAUUCCGUGUCUCUCGUGUUUGCUUUUAGGUUGCGGGAGUAUCAGGAGUAAGCGAGGGAUGCAGGAGCUGUUUUGUGCCCUAGACUCUUUAGGGCCCGACAACAACUGCGAGGCCCUCGUUUCUGAUUAUAUAGAUUAAACAGCGCACAGACAUCCACUCACUGCAAUGCAUUAUGGGACCUUCUGAGUUUGGCGUCACACUGUAUCGAAUAAGUGCACCUAUAGUAGAAAUACAAUGCAAUAGUAGAUAUAACUUUUAUUAAUGCUUAGUGGAAUUCUUUUUUUCAGGGAACAUUUUCUCUUUUGGUAUGCCUUCGACCACCACGAGGAGGAGAAUAUCCCCAACUAUUACAUCCUGAUUAAACAUCUGGUAAGAAAUCCAAAAUACAUGUUUAUCUAAAUAAGGAAUAAAUGAUAUGAGAUUGUCAGCUCUUGGCCCAGUAUAUUUUAUGUUUGGAUCUUUGUCCCAAAUGAUGAAAUGGCACAAGGCUCAGGCAAUAACACUGGAUGAGCAGACCCAGAGCUGCACUAAACCCAACUAGACCUGUUGCUUAGUAACUAUUCCCUUUAUCUCAUUUAAAUGAUAGUGGGGUUAAACAGAGCCACGUGUCAGUGUGCAUAAAGCUAAUAUGUGAGGCCAUCACAGAUAUAAUGACGAGGCAUAAAAACUUAUUGGAUCUUAAAGAGCUAACUGUGGGUUCAUAGGUCUAAUUAUAAGAGGAAUAGCAUUGACCCCUUGAUUCCUUUCUCACACUGAUACUUUCUUUUAUGUUACAGGAACAACUGGAAGUACUGGAGGGGAUAUAUUUUAGAAUGGACCCCUCUUGCGUUUCAGGCACCUACGCCUGAAGGACAUCGCCUGCGCAGUCACUAUGUGGCAUUUGUUUCUCUCUAUAAAGGAAGUUUCCUGGAUCCCAACAUCAGUCAGUAGGUUAUUACACAAGCUCAUGUAAAGGAACUAUUAUAAUCAUAACUGUCUUCUUUCUUUCCCCUUUGCUCCUAUCCUUGUUCUCUUCCCUGCACUCUCAGGCAGUAACAUCUACCUUGCGUGGCAUAAGGCGCAGAGUUGAAGAAAAGGAAGAGGAGCUGCGGCAACCUUCUGGAAGAACCAGCGUGGAAGCAGCAGAGGACACUCCAGCUGCAGUGAUGGAAGGACCACCACAGGGCGGUUCCAGAGACUCUGGCGCUCCACCAUAAGAUGUUUCGGGGGGGAUGCUGUCUCCAACCUCCCCCUGAUAAUUAAUAUCCUUUUUUCGUUAUGUUGAGGGGUGGGC